AGAAUCAACGCUGGCGGCGUGCCUAACACAUGCAAGUCGCACGAGAAAGGGACUUCGGUCCUGAGUACAGUGGCGCACGGGUGAGUAACACGUGAAUCAUCUACCUCCGAGUGGGGAAUAACUGAGAGAAAUCUUAGCUAAUACCGCAUAACACUUACGAGUCAAAGCAGCAAUGCGCUUGGAGAGGAGUUCGCGGCAGAUUAGUUAGUUGGCGGGGUAAUGGCCCACCAAGACGAUGAUCUGUAUCCGGCCUGAGAGGGCGCACGGACACACUGGAACUGAAACACGGUCCAGACUCCUACGGGAGGCAGCAGUGGGGAAUUUUGCGCAAUGGGGGAACCCUGACGCAGCAACGCCGCGUGGAGGAUGAAAUCCCUUGGGAUGUAAACUCCUUUCGAUAGGGAAGAUAAUGACGGUACCUAUAGAAGAAGCCCGGCUAACUUCGCGCCAGCAGCCGC
rnacentral:rRNA from 1 species